rnacentral:rRNA from 1 species
GAUGAACGCUGGCGGCGUGCUUAACACAUGCAAGUCGAGCGAAGCACUUAAGUCUGAUUCUUCGGAUGAAGACUUUUGUGACUGAGCGGCGGACGGGUGAGUAACGCGUGGGUAACCUGCCUCAUACAGGGGGAUAACAGUUAGAAAUGACUGCUAAUACCGCAUAAGACCACGGUACCGCAUGGUACAGUGGUAAAAACUCCGGUGGUAUGAGAUGGACCCGCGUCUGACUAGGUAGUUGGUGGGGUAACGGCCUACCAAGCCGACGAUCGGUAGCCGACCUGAGAGGGAGACCGGCCACAUUGGGACGGAGACACGGCCCAGACUCCUACGGGAGGCAGCGGUGGGGAAUAUUGCACAAUGAAGGAAACUCUGAUGCAGCGACGCCGCGUGAAGGAUGAAGGAUUUCGGUAUGUAAACUUCUAUCAGCAGGGAAGAAAAUGACGGUACCUGACUAAGAAGCCCCGGCUAACUACAUGCCAGCAGCCGCCGUAA